rnacentral:piRNA from 1 species
UGGUUAAUGAGAUAUUACUAACCCCCGCCU